UUUUGCUUCGGCAGUUCAUAGUAUACUAAAAAAUGGAACGAUGCAAAGGAGAUUAGCAUGGCCCCUACGCAUGGAUGAUACGCAUAUUCAAGAAACAAACCUCCUUUUU